rnacentral:rRNA from 1 species
CGGAGGAAAAGAAACUAACAAGGAUUCCCCUAGUAGCGGCGAGCGAAGCGGGAAAAGCCCAAAAUGAAAAGCCUGCUUGCAGGCGUUGUAUUCGGGCGCUCUUGGGGUGUCAGUGCAGGCAAGUUGUAUGGAAAUACAUGCCGUGGAGGGUGAGAGUCCCGUCCGGCCUGCACAGGACAGUCUAAACAAGAGUGUCUCUGACGAGUCGGGUAGCUUGGGAAUGCUGCUCUAAUUGGUGGUAAAUCUCAUCAAAGGCUAAAUAGUGACCGGAAACCGAUAGCGAACAAGUACCGUGAGGGAAAGAUGAAAAGCACUUUGAAAAGAGGGUGAAAAGAACCUGAAACCGUCAUGGGGGAAGCGGAUUGCGUUAAGGAAAAAGGAAUGUUGCGUGUUCAGCCGGUAAAAUGGUGCAUUGGCGCAACGGACCGAUCUGUCGUGAGUUUUGUGCAAUUAAAGUUUAAAUUGUGCNGGGCUGAGGGCUCCCUUUCAAAGGUUGAGGACGAUGGAUAUUGACGCGAUACGACCCGUCUUGAAACACGGACCAAGGAGUCUAGCGCGACUGCGAGUCAGAGGGUGCAAGCCCGAGGGCGUAGUGAAAGCGAGUGUGAAAACUGGUGGUUUGGGGCGGCAUGAGAUUUUAAAAUUUCAGGUCCGACCUUGAGCAGUUGCGCUGGGACCCGAAAGAUGGUGAACUAUGCCGGAGUAGGGCAAAGCCAGAGGAAACUCUGGUGGAGGCUCGUAGCGGUGCUGACGUGCAAAUCGCUCGUCAAACUUGGGUAUAGGGGCGAAAGACUAAUCGAACCAUCUAGUAGCUGGUUCCCUCCGAAGUUUCUCUCAGGAUAGCGGGCCGACGGGUGUUGUUUUGUGUGGUAAAGCGAAUGAUUAGCGCAGUCGGGGGCUCUAUGCCUUUGGGCGAUUCUCAAACUUUCAAUACGCAAGGGUGCCGCUGCUUGGUUGAGCGGUACCGGAAAAAACGUCGGCCCUGUGGGCCACUUUUGGUAAGCAGAACUGGCGAUACGGGAUGAACCGCAAGCGUGGUUAAGGCGCCUAAUUGCCCGCUUAUAGACCCCACAAAAGGUGUUGAUUCAUCGAGACAGCAGGACGGUGGCCAUGGAAGUUGGAAUCCGCCAAGGAGUGUGUAACAACUCACCUGCCGAAUGAAUUAGCCCUGAAAAUGGAUGGCGCUCAAGCGGGCGGCCGACACCAGGCCGUCUGGACAACAUAGGUUUCAGAUGAGUAGGAGGGCGUGGCGGUUGUUUCGAAGCGCCUGUGCAAAUGGGUGUGGAGCGGCCGCUAGUGCAGAUCUUGGUGGUAGUAGCAAGUAUUCAAGCGAGAACCUUGAAGGGCGAAGCGGGGAAGGGUUCCACGCGAACAUUGAUUGGGCGUGGGUGAGUCGUUCCUAAGUCGAGUGGCAAUUGCUAAGUAGCGGCGAAAGGGAAGCGGGUUGAAAUUCCCGCACACGGAUGUGGAGGCGGUGACGCGUAUUGGGACAAACACGUUGGCGAUGGCGCUGGGCAGAGUUGUCUUUUCUGUUUGACCUGUGGUGCGCUGUGUGGAAUCCGAUUGUCGGGAGAAACACGCGUGUUUGGGCAGAGCGCCGGGGUUUUUCCGGCGUCCAGCUCGCCAUCGACGACCCUUGAAACUUUGUCUGCUGAAUAAUAUAAAAUCCACGCCGUGGCGUACCGAUUACCGCAUCAGGUCCCCAAGGUGAACAGCCUCUGCUCAAUAUGAACAAUGCAGGUAAGGGAAGUCGGCAAAUUAGACCCCUAACUUUGGGAUAAGGGUUGGCUCUAGUGCUGCGUGGGAGUGGUUGCCUGGUCUUGGGGUGGUUGGAGAGGCGGAAUGGCGCGGGACCUGCCUGUAAAAGGGUGGGACUUGUUCCGGAUGCAAAUUCAACUAGUUCGGACCGGGCGACGCCCACGGCAUGCAGCAGACUAGAACUGCAACGGGCAAAGGGAAUCCGACUGUUUAAUUAAAACAAAGCAUUGCGAGGGCCGUGGACGGUGAUGACGCAAU